rnacentral:rRNA from 1 species
ACGAACGCUGGCGGCUGCUUAACACAUGCAAGUCGAACGGAGUGGCGCACGGGUGAGUAACGCGUGAGCAACCUGCCUAUGAAAGUGGGAUAGCCUCGGGAAACCGGGAUUAAUACCGCAUAGUCAUAGAUGGGCUCGCGUCAGAUUAGCUAGUUGGUGAGAUAACAGGCCACCAAGGCGACGAUCAGUAGCCGGUCUGUGAGGAUGAACGGCCACAUUGGAACUGAGACACGGUCCAAACUCCUACGGGGGGAAGCAGUGGGGAAUAUUGCACAAUGGAGGAAACCCUGAUGCAGCGACGCCGCGUGAACGAAGAAGGUAUUCGUAUCGUAAAGUUCUGUCCUAUGGGAAGCAGUACCAUAGAAGAAAGCUCCGGCUAAAUACGUGCCAGCCGCCGCGGUAAUUC